AAAUAAAUAAACCCCAAAACUGUUAGUGUCAAUGAUGUUUAGUAAACAAAAACGUAGUUUUUAUGAACGAAUGUCAGGUUGGAUAAACUACUGCCACUAAUCCUAAGUUCAGUGCGACUGGCGGUCAAGGUUAAACCGCUGCUUUAAAACACUCUCUCAUCACUAACUUGUGAUGUGGGGAUUGAUAAUAUCCUUGGAGUAAUUUUCUGCAUCAAUAGAAAUUGUGUGGCGCCGCACCAAAAUUUCAGGAUAUGCUGACCUAGCUUGAUCCAAUAGCCUCACCUUCUUUGAAUAUGUAUCCUCAAUCAUUUCCAUUUUGAAAAUUUUUGAUAUUGGAAUUACUUUUUAAUGAAAAUCCUAUGAGAAUACAAUAAUGAAUUGUGAAUUGCAAGUAUAAAAUAUAAAUGGUGCGCUUUUGGCCAAACUUUUGACUCUCAUAUUACUCCUAACUCCACGAAAAAUAUUAGUCGGGCUUUUGAGUAAAGCCCGAGCCCGACUCAAGAAAAGCCCGCCCAGGCCCGACCCGACUCAUGGGCUCAACUCAAAAGCCCGGGCCCGCCCAAGCCCUACUCAAGAGAAGCCCGCCCAGGCCCGACCCGACUCAAAGGCCAAACUCAAAAGCCCGGCCCGCCCAAAGCCCGUUGGGCCUGGGCGGGCUCGGGCUAGCCCGAUUAAAGCCCAAGCCCGACUCACCUCUACAGCAGGGGCAGGGAUCAACGCUCAACGGAAUUCAUGAAGACGGAAGACACUGACAAUAUCAAGCCGCCGUCUUGUGAAGAAAAUGCUCCUGGAGGUAUUAAACUUGAACUCAUUUUCUGCUGGACCUCGAGUCCAAUGUCUGUUUUUAAAGCCGCGAUGAAGACGACGAGCGAUUCUUUCUCAAAUUGACACCCGCUCGUCGCCGUUCAUAGUGUUAAGACGCCACUGCAUUGGCAGCAUCUCCUUGAACCCUUUGUAACUUAUUUGGACACGCUGGGUGGAUGACGGCCUCAGUUCUUAUACAUCCAUGUCUAGUUCACUGGUCUGGACCUUUUUCUUGAAGAUGGAUGAUGCUCCAAUUUUAUCCGGAUUUAGGUAUUAAACUUGAACUCAUUUUCUACUGGAGACACCGACGCUAUUAAACUGACAGACGAGCAUUGCCAAUUUCAUUUUGCUGGAGACUAGCUCGCUGGGAACACUUUGAUCUUAGCUAAAAGGCCGCUGGCUGACCUGUUUGUGAAGGAGGAGCCAAACAACAGAUUUGUUAGGGUCAGCUACUGAAGACACUGAUAUUAUCAAGUCGCCGUCUUUUGGCUUGCACUAGCUUGAAGAUGAUGCUCCAAAAUUUUACCCGGAGGUCGAGGGUCUGACCUUUUUGGUCGUUUUGGGUUUGGUUUUUUUUUUGGGAAGGAGUUGCCAAAAAAUUUUAUAUCCUUUUUUGAAUGACAUACAUUUUUUUUAAAUAGCUGACAUUUUGGCUAAAUAAAGUUUAGUUAUGAAAACCUGAAUUUUAAAAAAUAUAUAUGUAUUUAUACUAAUGUACUAAUGUAAUAAAUAAUAAAUUGUUUUUAUGGGCGAAAUUCCAAAAUAACUAUGAAAAAUUCUGAAAAAAUCAUAAGCGUCUCGGACGCAGGGGCCAUUAGAAGAUACUGAUAUUAUCAAGACGCCACGGCAAAGCAGCAUCUCCUGGGGCUCGACAUUUUUGUAACUUAUUUCGGCACGCUGGGCCGACCACAUAGGUAACCCAAAGACCGACAGUGUGUCGCCCUUAAAGACACUUUGAUCUUGGCCAGAAGGCCGAGGGUCUGGCCUUUUUGUGAACGCAGGGUCGACGACGACUUAGAUAAUUAGUUUAAAACUUUCACAAACGGGCAAUGUUUUACUUUAUUUUAAAUUUUAUUCAUUACUGUGAAAGGUUGGAAAACGGAUGAACGAGCAUCACUUACACUCUAAAUAAAAUCAUUACCAAAUCAUUACCAAAAUGCACACGUAUAUGACUGCAGAAACGGUAAUAAUAACCACCAGCUGGUAAAGAAAUUGAUUGAACCCGAAGUGAUAAUAAAGAACACUUUUUGGGAUAAAAUUAAUACCAUGAUGUAUGACAGAUGUACUACAGAAUGUAGUACAAUGUCUACCACUUGGUAAUAAACCAUACCACUUUGUACACGGUGUGCUAUUCAUACCGGGAUUAAUGCUUUUUAUUAUGUAUACCCCAUUAUUACCAAAUGUUGUG